rnacentral:rRNA from 1 species
GACGAACGCUGGCGGCGUGCUUAACACAUGCAAGUCGAACGGUGAAGCGCUUUCCUUUUUGGUUGGUGUGGAUGAGUGGCGAACGGGUGAGUAACACGUGAGUAACCUGCCCCCUUCUUCUGGAUAACCGCAUGAAAGUGUGGCUAAUACGGGAUAUUCUGCGCCUGCUGCAUGGUGGGUGUGGGAAAGAUUGUGCCUUUGGGUGUUUUCGGUGGGGGAUGGGCUCGCGGCCUAUCAGCUUGUUGGUGGGGUGAUGGCCUACCAAGGCGGUGACGGGUAGCCGGCCUGAGAGGGUGGACGGUCACACUGGGACUGGGACACGGCCCAGACUCCUACGGGAGGCAGCAGUGGGGAAUAUUGCACAAUGGGCGCAAGCCUGAUGCAGCGACGCCGCGUGAGGGAUGGAGGCCUUCGGGUUGUGAACCUCUUUCGCCAGUGAAGCAGGCCUGCUCCUUGUGGGUGGGUUGACGGUAGCUGGAUAAGAAGCGCCGGCUAACUACGUG